rnacentral:tRNA from 1 species
UCCGACGUCGUCUAAUGGCAGGACAGAGGAUUUUGAUUCCUCUUACGAAGGUUCGAAUCCUUCCGUCGGAACCA